rnacentral:rRNA from 1 species
UGGGGAAUAUUGCACAAUGGGCGCAAGCCUGAUGCAGCCAUGCCGCGUGUGUGAAGAAGGCCUUCGGGUUGUAAAGCACUUUCAGCGGGGAGGAAGGCGGUGAGGUUAAUAACCUCAUCGAUUGACGUUACCCGCAGAAGAAGCACCGGCUAACUCCGUGCCAGCAGCCGCGGUAAUACGGAGGGUGCAAGCGUUAAUCGGAAUUACUGGGCGUAAAGCGCACGCAGGCGGUCUGUCAAGUCGGAUGUGAAAUCCCCGGGCUCAACCUGGGAACUGCAUUCGAAACUGGCAGGCUAGAGUCUUGUAGAGGGGGGUAGAAUUCCAGGUGUAGCGGUGAAAUGCGUAGAGAUCUGGAGGAAUACCGGUGGCGAAGGCAGCCCCCUGGACAAAGACUGACGCUCAGGUGCGAAAGCGUGGGGAGCAAACAGG